rnacentral:pre_miRNA from 1 species
GAAGUACUCCCUCAGUCCCAAAAUUCUUGUCUUAGAUUUCUCUAGAUACGGAUGUAUCAAGUCACAUUUUAGUAUUAGAUACAUCCGUAUCUAGACAAAUCUAAGACAAGAAAUUUGGGACAGAGGGAGUAGUUG